rnacentral:snRNA from 1 species
UCAAUAAGCGGAGGAAAAG